GCACAGUGGACAGUUUGGCACAAUCAAUAACUUCAGGCUGGGUCGCCUGCCCAGUGUUCCCGUGGAAUGGAAUGAGAUUAAUGCUGCUUGGGGCCAGACUGUGUUGCUGCUCCAUGCUCUGGCCAAUAAGAUGGGUCUGAAAUUUCAGAGGAUGGAUGUGGAGAAAGGCAAGAUUGAAGACACAGGAGGCAGUGGCGGCUCCUAUUCCAUCAAAACCCAGUUUAACUCUGAGGAGCAGUGGACAAAAGCUCUCAAGUUCAUGCUGACGAAUCUUAAGUGGGGUCUUGCUUGGGUGUCCUCACAAUUUUAUAACAAAUGACUUUUUUCCUUAGGGGGAGGUUUGCCUUAAAGGCUUUUAAUUUUGUUUUGUUUGCAAACAUGUUUUAAAUUAAAUUCGGGUAAUAUUAAACAGUACAUGUUUACAAUACCAAAAAAGAAAAAAUCCACAAAAGCCACUUUAUUUUAAAAUAUCAUGUGACAGAUACUUUCCAGAGCUACAACAUGCCAUCUAUAGUUGCCAGCCCUGGUCAGUUUUGAUUCUUAACCCCAUGGACUCCUUUCCCUUUCUUCUCUGAAAAAAACUAAUUUAAAUUUGCUUUUCUUUUUUUUAACUGAGUUGAAUUGAGAUUGAUGUGUUUUCACUGGAUUUUUAUCUCUCUCAACUUCCUGCACUUAACAAUAUGAAAUAGAAACUUUUGUCUUUACUGAGAUGAGGAUAUGUUUGAGAUGCACAGUUGGAUAAUGUGGGAAAAUGACAUCUAAGCUUUAC
rnacentral:lncRNA from 1 species